rnacentral:lncRNA from 1 species
CAGAGAAAGCUAAGUAUGCGCCCCUAACCAACCGCAUAGGAUGCCCCACUUCUAGUGAGCCCACCUACAGCUUCUCCCUGCCGACGGUCUCCAGUCAAACCUACUGAAGCCUUUCCUCUUUUCCACUAUGAAGCUUUCCUGCUCCUCUGCCUGCCUUUCAGUCUCCGCCAAAAAGCAAAUGAUGGUGGCUGACUCCCUUGCUAUAGCAAGCUCUGAGUAGUUAGGCUUUUUCUCCUUUGGUUGGUCUUCAUUUACUUCGACAUAUUCAAUUCUUUCAUUUAUUCGUUCAAGCAGUUACUCGAUAUUUAUUUAGCGUCUACUAUACGCCAGACCCCCUGCUAGGCCCUGAGAAUAAUGAAGUGACCCAGAUGCCUGGGUCCCUCCCUUCAAGCUGAUUAUGGUCCAGUGGGAGAAGAAAGGCUCCAUGUGGAGUGAGGCCUGGAGGAGGGCAAACCUGGAAGCAGGGAGACCAAUUCAGAGGCUAAGACACGAUGGGGCUGGACAAGAAGAAAAGUGCAUGGACUGGAGAGCUGAUGGAGAUGGUUCCUGAUUGGACCUCAUGGCUGGAGUCGGUAGGACAUUGUAGCUGACCACCUUCUUGAUGGAGACUCUGUGGAUUGGACUUAGGGAAGGCGAGAACAGUGAUAUAAGGAGCCCUCUUGUGCACCACUUCAAAUCCUUUUAGCUCUUACUCCAGCCACUGCUUUGGUAACCAGCUUUGCACAGACGUCAACCAGUUCUUUGCCUGUACAACAUGACAGUGCCUUGUCUUGGGCCCAGUGCUACAUAUGUCUUAGUCUGUCCUUGAUGCUGUUGGCACGUACACAGGUGUAACCCAAAAUACAGGGAGGUUUAAGGUUUGUGGGGUAUUCUUACAGUCUAAGGCUCAGAUCAAUGGAGGAUGCAAGCCAAAGGAUAAAUCGUUCCUCUUUCAUCCCCCAAGCACACAGCUCUGAGAUGCAUGCAUGAGACUUACUAGAAAGUCCUCUAGUUUGAGCACCCGUCGCAGAUAGCCUGGCCAACUCACGAACACAGCCAUCCUUCCCUGUUUCAUUUCCUUGUUCUUCACUCUUGCUCCCAGAGACACAUUCCCAAAUAAACUGCCCACGUGAAAGCCUUUGUCUCAGUCUCUGUUUUGGAGGAAACUAAGAUAAGAUGCAUGGCCACACCUAAUAACUGCAGAAGAGGCUGGAGAAAUCACAUCACAGGGCAGCUAUAUGUCCAGUUUCCAUUACUACGGAAGACGAGGGAGCAGAUUUGGUGGCCAGCUAGCAGUCUCCACUCCAGCAGGAAAGUGCUGAAACAUUUGACAGACGCCCCAGCCAAAGAGUUAAAAAUAAUAGAAGUUUUGAUGCUUAAAAGGAUAAGUAGUACAACUACCAUUGUCCAAAGAGAAGAGGACAUUUCCUUGGCUGUGACCAGCAGAGUGGAGAGAGAAGAGGAGAAUGCCAAGGGUCAGAUGGCUGGAAUGUGACCACACUUAGCUACCAGGAAGGAAAGGAUGAGCCAUUAAAGGAGAAAAAC